CCCUUAGAUGUUCUGGGCCGCACGCGCGCUACACUGAUACGUUCAACGAGUUACUCUUUGACCUUGGUCGAAAGAUCUGGGUAAUCUUUUGAAAUCGUAUCGUGAUGGGGCUUGCGGGUUGCAAUUACCCGCACCAACGAGGAAUUCCUAGUAAACGCAAGUCAUCAACUUGCAUUGAUUAUGUCCCUGCCCUUUGUACACACCGCCCGUCGCUCCUACCGAUUGAGCGGUCCGGUGAACACUCAGGAGGCAUGUCUAGGUCUGGUUUCCAGACUUGGUACGUUCCAAAUUUGUGUAAACCUUAUCGCUUAGAGGAAGGAGAAGUCGUAACA
rnacentral:rRNA from 1 species